UACGUAGGGGGCGAGCGUUGUCCGAAUUUACUGGGCGUAAAGCGCGCGUAGGCGGACUCUUAAGUUGGGAGUGAAAUCCCGAGGCUCAACCUCGGAACUGCUUCCAAAACUGGGGGUCUAGAGGUAUGGAGAGGGAAGUGGAAUUCCUGGUGUAGCGGUGAAAUGCGUAGAUAUCAGGAGGAACACCCGUGGCGAAGGCGGCUUCCUGGCCAUAUCCUGACGCUGAGGUGCGAAAGCUAGGGGAGCGAACGGGAUUAGAUACCCCCGUA
rnacentral:rRNA from 1 species